rnacentral:rRNA from 1 species
AGUGAACGCUGGCGGUAGGCCUAACACAUGCAAGUCGAACGGCAGCACAGUAAUAGCUUGCUCUUACGGGUGGCGAGUGGCGGACGGGUGAGGAAUACAUCGGAAUCUACUUUUUCGUGGGGGAUAACGUAGGGAAACUUACGCUAAUACCGCAUACGACCUACGGGUGAAAGCAGGGGAUCUUCGGACCUUGCGCGAUUGAAUGAGCCGAUGUCGGAUUAGCUAGUUGGCGGGGGAAAGGCCCACCAAGGCGACGAUCCGUAGCUGGUCUGAGAGGAUGAUCAGCAACAAUGGAACGGAGACACGGUCCAGACUCCUACGGGAGGCAGCAGUGGGGAAUAGUGGACAAUGGGCGCAAGCCUGAUCCAGCCAGACCGCGUGGGUGAAGAAGGCCUUCGGGUUGUAAAGCCCUUUUGUUGGGAAAGAAAAGCAGCAGGUUAAUACCCCGCUGUUCUGACGGUACCCAAAGAAUAAGCACCGGCUAACUUCGUG